AUUCGGUGAAGAAACUAACACCUAUGCAAAAGAAAACAAUUUCUUUAUGAAAGAAAUAGUGUAUACAGCCAUGAACCAAAAGAAUAAACAAAGAAUUACAGCAAAUUGUACCUCAAUUCGCACAUUGGGAGCCACCAAGUGAAAUGUUGAAAGGCUUCGUUACAAGCUUAAACAUAAUAGUGUAUUUGGCCAUUUUUAUUACAAGCUUCGGAAUUUCACCAAAAUUUUCACCCACACAAGCAAAGAACCAAAUAAUUAGCAUAAACAUAGCAGAAAAAUAAAAAAAACAAAUUACCAACCUUGAGACGAAUAUUGGUGAAACUAAACUGGAAGACUUGCAAUGAGAAACACCUAAGAAAUCAGGUUUUUCUCAUGUAUGCUCCAAACAAAAUCAGGUUUCGUUCAUGUAUACAAAAAAACAAAAAGUAAAAAACAAAAUUGAAACACACAAGCAAUAUGCAGUAUCAAAAUUUAACUCCUCAACUUUCACAGAGAAGUUAAUGAAGUCACCAAAAAUUAAAAUUGCUACGGACGAAUUGUUUAUGGGAUCUUUAAAAAAAAAUCUUCAUAAUACAAAGCAUCAGACAAUUACAAAGGAUUAAAAUACAUAUCAGCAUAUCAACUAAAUACAUAAGAAAAUUAAAUUCACGUAACCAGAAAAUACAUAACC
rnacentral:lncRNA from 1 species